GGGGAUGUAAUGGUUUCGACGGGGUCUUGAAGGUACGGGUAGCGAGUCGUGUAACUCCUCUUUAUCACGUAAAACUAUGGGGAACUUAAAUUAAACGCAAACGAAAAUUACGCUUUAGCGGCUUAGUUGCUGCUCGUUUUCACCGAGAUUCCUACGACUUGGAUGAAAACGUCAGAUAGUAGGGCACUGCUUUGUGGAUAUCUGGACAUAAAGUAGAAUAAUUCAGAUGUAGCUGAUAGGGAGCUUAGUUGUUGGGGCGCCCAG
rnacentral:tmRNA from 1 species